GCAGACCCUCCCCUCUCCCCUCCAGCCUGGACACGCCCGCCUCCCCUUGACUCCCCCCAGCUCUGGGCCCCCACCUCCCCUCCCCUCCAGCACAGUCACCCCCAUUUCUCUCCUAUCCGCCAUCCUGGUUCCUCCCUUCCCCCCACCUCCCAACUCUGUGCCCCGCCAACGUUUCCUAAAUGCCCUCUAUUCAGAUCCCCCCUCCGCCUCCCCUCUCCUCUCCUCCAUUCCUGCGUCCCCCUUCCCCCGCCGCGCCGCCUGGGCUGUCCGUGGACUUCUCCCACUCUCUCACUCUCUCACUCACUCUCUCUCUCUCUCUCUCUCUCUCACUCUCUCUCUCUCUCUCCCCCUCAUUUAUUUGGAACCGUUGGAUAAGAAGUGCUCGGGCUCUCGCUCAGACUUAGGGAGCUGCCUCGAGGUGAUGAAUGACACCCCCUGGCACCAGCUACCCUUCUCAGACCCCAGUCCAGCCCGCUCCCGACGUCGACUACGAUUCCGCUACCUCGGCUGGCAGCGAGGUUGGGGUGAGCCCCAGCUGCAGGCGCGUCUGGGCUGCGCCGCUGCAAACGAGUUGCGCACCUUGGGCGGCUCCGCACCUGCACCCGCACCCGCGGGGCUCAGCCCCGAAGGCUGCAGCUUCGGGGGAGGCGCGGUCGCCGAGGUCCAGCUGGUGGGGCGAGAGACGUCGCCCCUCGGAGGAUGCUCUCGGAACUUGGGAGAGGAAGGAGGGAAGAGAAGAGGGGAAAGGGGCCGUCGAUGUUUUUGAUGUCUGUGCUUUAAUGGAGGCCACCAAUAUUGAGAAGACGGGGUUGGCCGAGGCAGCCCGCACGCUGCUGCUUGCGAGCGCUCGAGUCAAAGCUAGGGCCAACCGCGGCUUGUCCGGGUGCCCUAAGGGGGCGGACACUUGGUUUAGCACCGGGACACAGAAUAGCCACCGGGGUAGGAAGAUGCGUUCACUUUGCUUACCUGUUGGCAAGAGGGACAUACAAAAAUAACGUAACGUGACAUCGUUGACAACGGUAGCUCUUUGAUUACACAAAAGCCAAUUUUACCUUCCCGCAAAAGCCAGUUGACGCCUUUGGAACUUUUAUUUGCGGCAUUUUGGCGCCCUCUGGCUGUGUUUGGAUCGCUUUCAUGCUCGCCUGCGUCCCAGCCAAGAAAAAAUCGAUGGAGCUGCAGGUUGUCCUCAGGAUGGUUCUGCCCUCAGGACCUGGGCGUGAAUUCAGGGACAGGGUGGCCCUCCAGAACCGGAGUGACAAACUGUAACCAUACUUAGGGAGGCAGACGUCAAAGGCAAGUACAUCUGUAUUCAACUGGGUAAAGGUAAGUGCAUUUUCACUUAACAGGAAAAUUAACUUAUCGUAACUUUAACGUACAUAUUUGAAUUAAGCAAAGUGGCAAUAUUUACUCAACUGCACUAGCGAUUUUGCAGUGGAAACACUUGACGACCCUACUGUACACAUUUACAGGUCAUAGGAGGCAGCACCAAAUUAGAUUAAUGCAUGCCAGCUGGAAAUGUUCAAAUUUAAACCAAAGGAAGAGUUUUUCAGCCUGGCGUGGUGGCUCACACCUGUAAUCCCAGCACUUUGGGAGGCCAAGCCAUGUGAAGACGUGCCUGCCUCCCUGUUACCUUCCACCAUGAUUGUAAGCUUCCUGAGGCCUCCCCAGCCAUGCCUGCUGUAUAGCCUGCAGAACAGAUUAAUGAAAAUAAAACGCAGACCUUAUAAGCAGACGCUGUGAUUUUGUAAUAAAGAGGGGCAGCUUUUACAGGAAAAAGAACCCGAGGGAAGCUGUUGGCAGUCUGUGAAACGACGGUCAUGGUGGAAUUCGUUUUUCUGCACAUUAGAUGUUUAAAACAGCUGGUUUUCGUUGUUGUUGUUGUUGUUGUUUUCCUGAAAGAAUCUUGUUCCCCACAAUAUGUUCUUGGUAUUCAAAAUGGCUUUUGCUCCUACUUUUUGGAAAAUGCACUUCAGUUUCCAAUUUAUUCAUUUGUUAGUGGGUUCAUCAAUUAGUUUAUUCAUCAAUUAGUUCAUCCAUUGUGGAAGACAGUGUGGCGAUUCCUCAAGGAUCUAGAACCAAAAAUACCAUUUGACCCAGCAGUCCCAUUACUGGGCUUAUUGAAGUCUCCUAAUGUGAAUUUCUACUCCUGGACAUAAUACCUUCUUCUCAGAAAUAAGACAGAGUUUUCCCCUGCACUUCUUUAUAUGCUUUUUUCUCUGACUUUUGCCAUGUGGUUUUGUUUCUCCCAUGGCUUGAAAGAGCAGGAAAACUGAAGGUACCAACUGAAAGUGCUGCUUCCUGCUUUUGGUUUUCCUUCAUUUUAUUUCAUUUUUCAAGCUGAGUCUCACUCUGUUGCCCAGGCUGAAAUGCAGCUCAACCAUCACGGCUCACAGCAGCCUUGACCUCCUGAGCUCAAGCAGUCCUCCUUCCUCAGCCUCCCGAGUAGCUAGGACCAUAGGUGUGCACCGCCACCCUUAGCUUUUUUUUUUUUUUUUUUUUUGUAGAGACAGAGUCUCCCUAUGUUUCCCAGACUCGGUGUUUUUCAAAUAUUUGAAAAUGUAAAAGCCAUUCUUAGCCCACAGGCUGUACAAAAACAGAUGGAGGGCCAGAUUUAACCCAUGGGCAGUGGUUGGCCAAACCCUUGUGUAUCCCAUGCCAUGCCCUACUAUUCCAGACUUAAAAGUUAUAAUUUUAGGAUAAACUUGUUAUAUUUUUGUCAUGUCAGAAGACUGAGUGUAUACAUUUUCUUUUUUUUUUUUUUGACGGAGUUUUGCUCUGUCCCCCAGGCUGGAGUGCAGUGGGGUGAUCUCGGCUCACUACAACCUCUGUCUUCCGAGUUCAAGUGAUUCUCCUGUCUCAGUCUCCUGAGUAGCUGGGAUUACAGGCUCAUGCCACCAUGCCCAGCUAAUUUUUGUAUUUUUAGUAGAAACGGGGUUUUGCCAUGUUGGCCAGGCUGGUCUCGAACUCCUGACCUCAGGUGAUCCACCUGCCUAGGCCUCCCAAAGUGCUGGAAUUACAGGCGUGAGCCACUGCACCUGGCCUGAGCAUAUACAUUUUCAUAGGCAAAAACAUACCUUGGAAAUACUUCUCAGGAAUGUGCACAUAUGAAUUACAAAAUGUAAAAAGCUUCAACUCCAUUAUGAACUGUAAAUGCAUGUGGCAGGAGGCGAUCCUCAUAGAAGCUGUCAGGGCGUGACUUCAUUCUAGAUGCUGUAAGUAGCAAUAAUAAAAGAGGAAGCAAACACGUGCAGCUUCUGGAAUUCAGACCCUGGAGGAAGGAGACAGGUGGCCUUGAGUGAGGAUAUGAGGAACACAGUCAAGGAGAAAAUGCAGCUGGUGAAUUAUAAACAUCCAUGGGCAGACAUAGAAAGUUAGGAACCCCAGCCCUCUAAUGGAACCAAGAAACCAGAGGCCAGUAGGAAACGGCUCCAGGAAGAGCGAAACUUGAUAAAUGUCCUAGACGUCAGUGAGAAAGAUCCGUUUGUUUUGUUUACACUGAAAAUUUUUAAAUUGCAUGACUAUUUAGAGCACUUUUACAUUUUUUGCCUAGAAUUAGAUCCAAAGAAUAAAUGACCUAUUGAGCCUGAAGGGAUUUUAGGAAAAAAUAACUUUUUUAAAAAAAUAUGUUUUUUUGUUUUUUGUGUUUUUUUUUUGAGACAGAGUCUCGCUCUGUCACCCAGGCCGGAGUGCAGUGGUGCUAUCUUGGCUCACUGCAAGCUCUGCCUCCCGGGUUCACGCCAUUCUCCUGCCACAGCCUCCCAAGUAGCUGGGACUACAGGCAUCUGCCACCACCCCCGGUUAAUUUUUUUUUUUUUUGUAUUUUUAGUAAAGACGGGGUUUCACCGGGUUGCCCAAGAUGGUCUCGAUUUCCUGACCUCAUGAUCUGCCAGCCUUGGCCUCUCAAAAUGCUGGGAUUACAGGUGUGAGCCACCAUGCCUGGCCUAAAAAAUAUAUAUUUUUUAAAAAAUAAAGACAAGGGUCUCACUAUGUUGCCCAGCUUGGUCUUGAAAUCUUGGGCUCAAGUGAUCCUCCUGCCUUGGCCUCCCAAAGUGCUAGGAUUACAGACAUGAGCCACUGCACCAGGCCAAGAAAAAGUAUCUUAAUGACAUAUUUUCAUUUGUGUUUUUCUUCAGCCCUCUGGAUGCCAGCUCUCCUUCCCACUUGGCAGCUCCCUGCAGCAGUUUCUCGUUAUGAUUUUUGGGAGCUUGUUACAGAUGUGAAAUCCUCCUCUUUAAUUUAAGUCUAUGUCCACUAAUUUGGUCCUCCACAAAACUGAUGAAAAACUAGUGCACAUUCCCCACAUUAAAACUUGUCAUUUACCUAAAGAUUGUCAUUAAACCCCCUCAGUCUACUUUUCUCCUGACCAAACACCCCCAAACCCUUGAACCUUUUCUUAUAGAACCAACCGUCAUCGUUUAAAACAUUUGUGUGCCUCCUAUUUCUUUACAAUAUUUUUUAACAGCGGAAACAAACCCCCAAAAUGCAUUUUCUAGUGAGGCUUGGACUAAGGUGGAUUAGAGAAAGAAUACACAAAGGAGAAUGAUUUCCUAAACUGCGCCCGUUAUACUUCCGACAUCUCAGUACCAUGCUGGCUUUUUCCCACAGAAUUGCUAUAUUUCUGAGGAGUAUUCAUUUAGUAAACCGAGUUCUCUGCACCCAGGUCAUUUUGCCACUAAACUUGUAAUAAUCUCAGCAACAACAGUAAUAGCAGCAUCUAACUGUUGCCCUGUGUUAAUGGCUGACAGCCGCCCUCUGCGGUUAGUCUACCAUCAUCUGCAAUUUAUAGCAGAGGAUCCAGGCUUGGAGAGGUUCAGGAACUGGCCUGAGAUGAUCCUGGCUGUGAAUGGUGAAGACUGGGUUCUAAUCUACAACUGGAUCCCUGGAUUCUCACUCUUGAGUGCCAUGCUGUGUACUUCUCAGUGUCGAUCUGUGGAUUGAAAUUAACAGUAUCUGCCGGGCGCAGUGGCUCAGGCCUGUAAUCCGAGCACUUUGGGAGGCCGAGGUGGGCGGAUCAUGAGGUCAGGAGUUCGAGACCAGCCUGGCCAACAUAGUGAAACCCCAUCUCUACUAAAAAUACAAAAAAUUAUCCAGAUGUGGUGGUGUAUGACUUACCCCAGCUACUCGGGAGGCUGAGGCAGGAGCAUCGCGUGAACCCGGGAGACGGAAGUUGCAGUGAGCCAAGAUUGCGCCACUGCACUCCAGCCCAGGCAACAGAGCGAGACUCCAUCUCAAAAAAAAAAAAAAAAAGGAAAGAAAUUAACAGUAUCUGUAUUAGUCAUCUCAGGCUGCUGUAAUAAAAAUACCAUAGACUGGGUGACUUAAACAACGACAUUUAUUUCUUACUGUUCUGAAGGCUGGGAAGUCUAAGAUCAAGGCACUGGCAGGUCUAGAGUCUGGCGAGGGCUCUCUUCUGGUUUGUAGACAGCACACUGGUAUCUUCACUGAGAAGAGCACUAAUCCCAUGAUGAGGGCUCCCCCCUCAUGACCUCAUGUAACCCUAACCACCUUCCAAAGUUCCUAUCACAAUGGGGAUUAGGGUUUCAACAUAUGAAUUGGGGUCAAGAAGGGAGGACACAAACAUGCAGUCUGUAACACUACCUCUUUUCAUACUUAAAAAAAAAAUGCGGGUUUUUGUUUGUUUAACACUCUUUUUUUUUUUUUUUUGGGGGGGUGAUGGAGUCUCGCUCUGUCACCCAGGCUGGAGUGCAGUGGCGCGAUCUCGGCUCACUGCAAGCUCCGCCUCCCGGGUUCGCGCCAUUCUCCUGCCUCAGCGUCCCGAGUAGCUGGGACUACAAGCCCCCACCACCACGCCUGGCUAAUAUUUUGUAUUUUUAGUAGAGACGGGCCCACGCCCACCCGGAACUCCCGCUGGCCCGCAAGCGCCGCACGCAGCCCCGGUUCCCGCUCGUGCCUCUCCCUCCACACCUCCAUGCAAGCUGAGGGAGUGGGCUCCGGCCUUGGCCAGCCCAGAAAGGGGCUCCCACAGUGCAGUGGGGGGCUGAAGGGCUCCUCAAAUGCCACCAAAGUGGGAGCCCAGGCAGGAGAGGUGCCAAGAGCAAGCGAGGGCUCUGAGGACUGCCAGCAUGCUGUCACCUCUCAGUUUCACCGUGUUAGCCAGGAUGGUCUCGAUCUCCUGACCUCAUGAUCUGCCCGCCUCAGCCUCCCAAAGUGCUGGGAUUACAGGCGUGAGCCACCGUGCCCGGCCUUAACACUCUAUUUUUUUUUUUUUUUUUUUUUGAGACGUAAUUUUGCUUUUGUUGCCCAGGCUGGAGUGCAAUGGCGCGAUUUCGGCUCACUGCAACCUCCAUCUCCCGGGUUCAAGCAAUUCUCCUGCCUCAGCCUCCCAAGUAUCUGGGAUUACAGGCAUGCGCCACCACACUUGGCUAAUUUUGUAUUUUUAAUAGAGAUGGGGUUUCUCCAUGUUGGUCAGGCUGGUCUCAAACUCCCAACCUCAGGUGAUCCGCCCACCUUGGCCUUCCAAAGUGCUGGGAUUACAGGCGUGAGCCACUGAGCCCCACCUGUUUAACAUUUUUUAAUUUUUUUUUUUAAUUAUAGAGAUGGGGUCUCACUAUGUUGCCCAGGCUGGUCUCAAACCCCUGGGCUCAAGUGAUCCUCCCGCCUCAGCCUCCCAAAGUGCUGGGACUAUAGGCAUGAGUCACUGCACCUGGCCUCUUUUUAUACUGACCAGGUUUGUGUUACUCCACUCUAUUUCCUUCAACAACAAUUUCCCAAUUUAUCAAGGUAAUUUUCAAAUUUAUACUGGUUCUUAGUCCAGAGAAUUAGCAACUCCAACUAAUUAAGUAACAUCUGCAGUUUCAGUCAGUAUAUUUCCAUUAUCUUCAUUCCUUUUAUGGAAACUUAAAAAUUUCAACUUCAGGCUGGGCAUGGUGGCUCAUGCCUGUAAUCCCAGCACUUUGGGAAGCCAAGGCGGGAAAAUCACUUGAGCUUAGGAGUUUGAGACCAGCCUGGGCAAUAUAUCGAGACCUUGUCUCUACAACAGCAACAACAACAAUAAAAAUUAAAAGUUUAAACUUCAAAUUCUGACUGUUAGACGCAAUAAGCGCUAACAUUGUAUUCCAGGCAUUAUUGUAAGCAUGUUAUAUGCCUUAACUCCUUUGCUACUCUCUGUGGCCCUAAAAAGUAGAUACACUUGUUCCUUCCACUGUUAGAUGAUAGAGGCACAGAGUGGUUGUAUAACUUGCUUAAGGUCACGCAGCUAGACAUUUGGCCCCACAUCUUUACAAGUAGCUUUAGAUUCAAAAAAUAUUCUAUGUGCAUCUUGUUUCCAAUUCUCUUUUCAAUAAAUAAUCCCUUUCCAAUCAAGAAUUUUAGGGAAAAAUUGGACCAUUUUUCUAAUGUUAUUUAUCCAUUUUCCUGCUAAUAG
rnacentral:lncRNA from 1 species